rnacentral:lncRNA from 1 species
CACGUGCAUGUCAUCGAAAUCCCGCAUCCUGUAAAAGUUAAGAAAGUGAUCCUGAAAGUGCAAACCAUUCAAAUUUUAGUCUCAAUGCAAAAUAUGAUAAAAUAAAAUAAAAAUAAAAGUAAAUAAAUGCGAAAAAGUAAAAUGAAAGAAAAACCAUGGGUUGCCUCCCACGCAGCGCUUGGUUAACGUCAUUAGCUUGACGAUUAGAAUUUAUACACCUGUGGUGGUAGGGAUUGGUGGAUCAAUCAGGGUGUGGCUUGAGUAGUGUGCUG